AAAAAGUCUAUCUAAGCAUCUGAAGUUUAGGCACAAGAUUUCAAUCCUCCUUUAAAGAAUGUUUGCACCCCGAAGUAAGAGGUUUACUUUCAAAAAUAAGGAGCUAGCAAAGACUAGUUGAACAAGAAG